rnacentral:rRNA from 1 species
AUACAUGCAAGUCGAGCGGACAGAAGGGAGCUGCUCCCGGAUGUAGCGGCGGACGGGUGAGUAACACGUGGGUAACUGCUGUAAGACUGGGAUAACUCCGGGAAACCGGAGCUAAUACCGGAUAGUUCCCUGAACCGCAUGGUUCAAGGAUGAAAGACGGUUUCGGCUGUCACUUACAGAUGGACCGCGGCGCAUAGCUAGUUGGUGAGGUAACGGCUCACCAAGGCGACGAUGCGUAGCCGACCUGAGAGGGUGAUCGGCCACACUGGGACUGAGACACGGCCCAGACUCCUACGGGAGGCAGCAGUAGGGAAUCUUCCGCAAUGGACGAAAGUCUGACGGAGCAACGCCGCGUGAGUGAUGAAGGUUUUCGGAUCGUAAAGCUCUGUUGUUAGGGAAGAACAAGUGCAAGAGUAACUGCUUGCACCUUGACGGUACCUAACCAGAAAGCCACGGCUAACUACGUGCCAGCAGCCGCGGUAAUACGUAGGUGGCAAGCGUUGUCCGGAAUUAUUGGGCGUAAAGGGCUCGCAGGCGGUUUCUUAAGUCUGAUGUGAAAGCCCCCGGCUCAACCGGGGAGGGUCAUUGGAAACUGGGAAACUUGAGUGCAGAAGAGGAGAGUGGAAUUCCACGUGUAGCGGUGAAAUGCGUAGAGAUGUGGAGGAACACCAGUGGCGAAGGCGACUCUCUGGUCUGUAACUGACGCUGAGGAGCGAAAGCGUGGGGAGCGAACAGGAUUAGAUACCCUGGUAGUCCACGCCGUAAACGAUGAGUGCUAAGUGUUAGGGGGUUUCCGCCCCUUAGUGCUGCAGCUAACGCAUUAAGCACUCCGCCUGGGGAGUACGGUCGCAAGACUGAAACUCAAAGGAAUUGACGGGGGCCCGCACAAGCGGUGGAGCAUGUGGUUUAAUUCGAAGCAACGCGAAGAACCUUACCAGGUCUUGACAUCCUCUGACAACCCUAGAGAUAGGGCUUUCCCUUCGGGGACAGAGUGACAGGU